GAAUAUUGGACAAUGGGCGAAAGCCUGAUCCAGCCAUGCCGCGUGUGUGAAGAAGGUCUUCGGAUUGUAUAGCACUGUAAGUUGGGAGGAAGGGCCGUAAGCGACUACCUUGCUGUUUUGACGUUACAGACAGACUACGCACCGGCUACCUGUGUUCCAGCCGCCGCGGUAAUACCGAGUGUGCAAGCGUUAAUCGGAAUUACUGGGCGUAAAGCGCGCGUAGGUGGUUCGUUGAGUUGGAUGUGAAAUCCCCGGGCUCAACCUGGGAACUGCAUCCAAAACUGGCGAGCUAGAGUAGGGCAGAGGGUGGUGGAAUUUCCUGUGUAGCGGUGAAAUGCGUAGAUAUAGGAAGGAACACCAGUGGCGAAGGCGACCACCUGGGCUCAUACUGACACUGAGGUGCGAAAGCGUGGGGAGCAAACAG
rnacentral:rRNA from 1 species